UGGCGGCGUGCUUAACACAUGCAAGUCGAGCGGAAAGGCCCCUUCGGGGGUACUCGAGCGGCGAACGGGUGAGUAACACGUGAGUAAUCUGCCCUCCACUUCGGGAUAGCCCUCCGAAAGGGGGAUUAAUACCGGAUGGGCACCACGGACCGCAUGGUGUGUGGUGGAAAGUUUUUCGGUGGGGGAUGAGCUCGCGGCCUAUCAGCUUGUUGGUGAGGUGAUGGCUCACCAAGGCUUCGACGGGUAGCCGGCCUGAGAGGGUGACCGGCCACACUGGGACUGAGACACGGCCCAGACUCCUACGGGAGGCAGCAGUGGGGAAUAUUGGACAAUGGGCGGAAGCCUGAUCCAGCAACGCCGCGUGAGGGAUGACGGCCUUCGGGUUGUAAACCUCUUUCAGCACCGACGAAGCGUGAGUGACGGUAGGUGCAGAAGAAGGACCGGCCAACUACGUGCCAGCAGCCGCGGUAAUACGUAGGGUCCGAGCGUUGUCCGGAAUUAUUGGGCGUAAAGAGCUCGUAGGCGGUGUGUCGCGUCGGGAGUGAAAACCCAGGGCUUAACUCUGGGCUGGCUUCCGAUACGGGCACACUAGAGGUAUGCAGGGGAGAACGGAAUUCCUGGUGUAGCGGUGAAAUGCGCAGAUAUCAGGAGGAACACCGGUGGCGAAGGCGGUUCUCUGGGCAUGACCUGACGCUGAGGAGCGAAAGUGUGGGGAGCGAACAGGAUUAGAUACCCUGGUAGUCCACACCGUAAACGUUGGGCGCUAGGUGUGGGAUCCAUUCCACGGGUUCCGUGCCGUAGCUAACGCAUUAAGCGCCCCGCCUGGGGAGUACGGCCGCAAGGCUAAAACUCAAAGGAAUUGACGG
rnacentral:rRNA from 1 species